rnacentral:rRNA from 1 species
AGUGAACGCUGGCGGCGUGCUUAACACAUGCAAGUCGAACGAGAAACGGGUUUAGUUUACUAGAUCGCAGUCUAAGUGGCGCACGGGUGAGUAAUAUAUAGGUAACGUGCCUCUUACUAAGGGAUAACAGAUGGAAACGUCUGCUAAUACCUUAUAUGCCUUUUGAACGAAAGUUCGUAAAGGGAAAGAUUUAUUGGUAAGAGAUCGGCCUGUACAGUAUCAGUUAGUUGGUGAGGUAAUGGCUCACCAAGACAAUGACACUUAACUGGUUUGAGAGGAUGAUCAGUCACACUGGAACUGAGACACGGUCCAGACUCCUACGGGUGGCAG